rnacentral:tRNA from 1 species
GGGGGCGUAGCUCAGUUGGGAGAUUGGGAGAGCGCGUGCUUUGCAAGCAUGAGGUCGUCGGUUCGAUCCCGUCCGCCUCCACCA